rnacentral:rRNA from 1 species
UACGUAGGGUGCGAGCGUAAUCGGAAUUACUGGGCGUAAAGCGUGCGCAGGCGGUUCGUUGUGUCCGUCGUGAAAGCCCCGGGCUUAACCUGGGAACUGCGAUGGAAACUAGCGAGCUGGAGUGUGGCAGAGGGGGGUGGAAUUCCGCGUGUAGCAGUGAAAUGCGUAGAGAUGCGGAGGAACACCGAUGGCGAAGGCAGCCCCCCUGGGCUAACACUGACGCUCAGGCACGAAAGCGUGGGGAGCAAACAGG